GAUGAACGCUGGCGGCGUGCUUAACACAUGCAAGUCGAGCGAAGCGAUUUUAAGGAAGCCUUCGGGUGGAAUUAAAAUUGACUUAGCGGCGGACGGGUGAGUAACGCGUGGGUAACCUGCCUCAUACAGGGGGAUAACAGUUAGAAAUGACUGCUAAUACCGCAUGAGCGCACAGUGCUGCAUAGCACAGUGUGAAAAACUCCGGUGGUAUGAGAUGGACCCGCGUCUGAUUAGGUAGUUGGUGAGGUAACGGCCCACCAAGCCGACGAUCAGUAGCCGACCUGAGAGGGUGACCGGCCACAUUGGGACUGAGACACGGCCCAAACUCCUACGGGAGGCAGCAGUGGGGAAUAUUGGACAAUGGGGGAAACCCUGAUCCAGCGACGCCGCGUGACUGAAGAAGUAUUUCGGUAUGUAAAGGUCUAUCAGCAGGGAAGAAAAUGACGGUACCUGACUAAGAAGCCCCGGCUAACUACGUGCCAGCAGCCGCCGUAA
rnacentral:rRNA from 1 species